AGAGUUUGAUCCUGGCUCAGAUUGAACGCUGGCGGCAUGCCUUACACAUGCAAGUCGAACGGCAGCACGGGAGCAAUCCUGGUGGCGAGUGGCGAACGGGUGAGUAAUGUAUCGGAACGUACCUUUCAGUGGGGGAUAACGUAGCGAAAGUUACGCUAAUACCGCAUAUUCUGUGAGCAGGAAAGCAGGGGAUCGCAAGACCUUGCGCUGAUUGAGCGGCCGAUAUCAGAUUAGCUAGUUGGUGAGGUAAAGGCUCACCAAGGCGACGAUCUGUAGCGGGUCUGAGAGGAUGAUCCGCCACACUGGAACUGAGACACGGUCCAGACUCCUACGGGAGGCAGCAGUGGGGAAUUUUGGACAAUGGGGGCAACCCUGAUCCAGCCAUGCCGCGUGAGUGAAGAAGGCCUUCGGGUUGUAAAGCUCUUUCAGCCGGGAAGAAAUCACAUGGGUUAAUACC
rnacentral:rRNA from 1 species